UUGUUUUUUGAACUUCUCCCCAGCACCUUCUGAUCUUUUUCUCAACUUCCAGUGUUAACCCAAUGCUGUGUCGUACCUUCUACAUACACAGAGCAGCACAGUGCAACUUUGGGGUUUCUCGCCGAUCCAGUCUUCUCAAGGGCAUGCCCCAUAAGUCCAAUGUUGACUUCUGAACCCAUGAUUUCCUAUCUGGUCCCAGAUGGGGCUUGGGAUUAGCCUCAAAUGCUAGAACAGGAAGCCUUCUCUGUCCUCGUCUAUACUCACAUUACAUAUUUAUAUAUGCACAUACAAGGGAGAGUUAUUCCUUUUUUUAAAGACUUUUUUUUUUAAAGCAAUCUCUACACCCAACAUGGAGCUCGAACUUACAACCUGGAGAUCAAGAGUUGCAGGCCCCACCGACUGAGCCAGCCAGGCACCCCAAGGGAGAGUGAUUCUUACCAAAUGCAGCACAGAUUCUCUUAAAGACAUCUCUGUUGCUCUGCGAAGUUAAUGCAAAUAAUUAAAGCCAACCGGUCCUCUGUGUGGGGGCCACUGCAGCAGGUGGCCUGCUCCCCACCGCAUGUACACACUUCAGGACACACUUCACCAGCAUGAUUUUCUACCAUUCCUCUGAUGGCACAGCUUGCAUGUGGAAACCAGGCCCUCACCAUGUGAUCCUACCUUGUUCAGUUUGGAAAAUAACUCAUAAGAAAGCUAAUUUAAAAAAAAAAAAAAAACAGCAGUUUCCUUAAGGCCCCAGAUGGAAUGUCUUCUCAGAAGCAAAGCAUAUUCAUUGCAGAAGAAAAUAAUGAAAUACAGAUCAGUGAAAACAAAAGAGAAACAUCCAUAAUUCACCCUAUCAAAGAUAUCCAUUGUCAUCUUCCAGACUCUUUGGUAUAACCCUGGACUUGAUCCUGAUGAAACAUCAGACAAACCCAAAUCGAUUGGAGAUUCUUAUAAAAUUAAUUGCCUGUACUCUUCAGUGGCAAGGCAUGGAUGGAAGUCCCUGAAGGACUGGGGAACUAUUCCAUGUGGAAGGAGACUAAUGAAGAAGCAACCACAAGUCAGGACACCAUACGGGAUCAUUUGGUUAUAAAGGAUGUGGUGGAAACAGUUGGUGAAACUUGCUUGGGGUGAUAGUGGCACUGCAUCAAUGUUAUUUUGCCCAUCUUGAUGGCUGCAGUAUGGUUGUGUGGGAGGAUGUUCUUGUUGGAGGACUUCCAAACUCAAUUAUUUAAGGGUGAUGGUGCACCAUGUUGACAACUUAUUCUCAAGUAGUUUGAGAAAAGAAAUUCCUUGUAUUUUUUCUGCAACUCGCCAUUAGGUUUGAGAUGGUUUCAAAUAAGAAAGUAUGAUGAUGGGAUAGAGUUGGGGGAGAAGAAGGACCUCUCUGAUAAGGUUACAUGUGAUCACAGACCUGAAAGAAAUGGCGGACCAAGUAUCAGGGUAUCUGAAGGAAGAGCAUUCUUGGAUGAGGGAAAAGAAUGUGUAGAGGCUUUGAGGAGGGGGAUGACUGGAGUGUUUCAGGAACCUCACUAGGAGGCCAGUGAAAUUGCUGUAGAGUGAUAGUGUGAGAAAGUGGCAAGUGGAUGAGGCCACUAAGGUAAUGGGAACCAAAUCAAAAUCCGAAAGGGAUUUGGGGUUUUGUUUUUUUUCUGUGCUGGGAUACACUAGGGGGAGGGGUGGUCAUAACCUCAUUUAUGUUUUAUAAGGAUCACUCUGGCUACUGUGUAUAGAGCAGCAAGAUUGGAAGCAAGGAGUUUGGAAACUUUGGGAAUAUUUCACUCUCAGAUAGAUAUAUGGGCUGCAGGAGUCUCUAGAAAGACUUUGAAGAGCCACUACCUGGGCCACAAACACUGCACUGGCAUCAUUUAGCCUCAGCAGCAGCAGAACCAUCCGACUUCUUCUAUCUCUCAUGCCCAUCUUCCCUUGGAGGCCUGCCAAGAGGGUCCAGCACAGAAGCUGCUCGCCAAAGGGCAGCUCUGAUCAUGACUUGUCAGGAAAGUUGAGAAGCCAGCUGGAUGAAUUUUUAAUCUAAUUUUUCAAUUAUUUGGCACAAGUGCUGAAGUGUCCUUUUAAAUUAAUUAUCAUAGAACCAAAGACAAGCUUAGGGAGAAAUACUGUAACUGUCAGAUCUGGUCUCCUUCCCCAGAGCUGCAUGACACCACAAACACUAUUGUCCUGUGUAGAGGGACUUCAAAUGAAAGGUCUUGAGGUUUUACCUGGUUCUAACUAAUGAAGAAACCUGUGUAUUGACUCCUGAUUUUUGAACCCAUAAAGGACCUUAGAGGGAAAUGAUUCCAUUUCCCUCUUUUUCUGGACCCACAAGAUGAGUGACAAUUUAUAGCUUGCUUAGUUUGGUUUUGCCCCAAACUUGCCCUCAAUUGUCAUAAAGUCUCAGUGGAAAAACCAAAGAACCUGGAUUUGUGUCUCAAGAACUAUGUUCAUCAUGAUUUGAAAUCACAUGUUCAUUGUGAUGAACAUAGCUCAGACCUAUGUCCAAAUCUUUCUCUCCUUGGAACCCCCAGUGAUUUCAAGGACAUAUCUAAAAGACAAUUUGAUGCCUCCUUUGUGUUUGUUUUAUCUGCAAAAUGAUUCUUUUCAAACAUAAAAAUACACUUAUAAGUGUUAGAUUUAAAGCACACCUUUUAAAAUCCAAGAACAGGCUCAUACUCAAAGAGCAACAUUUAAAAAUGUUUUUCCCCUACCUUAGAUAUACAUAUAUCUAUUUUUUAUAUCCAUUUUUAAAAUAUUUUAUUUAUUUAUUCGAG